GACGAACGCUGGCGGCGUGCUUAACACAUGCAAGUCGAACGAAGUGGCGAACGGGUGAGCAAAGAGUAAUCAACCUGCCCUUCAGAGGGGGACAACAGUCGGCAACGACUGCUAAUACCGCAUACUGAAGGAGGGGAUUGCGUCUGAUUAGCUAGGUGGAGGGGUAACGGCCCACCAAGGCGAUGAUCAGUAGCCGGGCGGGGAGGAUGAACGUGCAGAUUGGGACUGAGACACGGCCCAGACUCCUACGGGAGGGAGCAGUGGGGAAUCUUCCGCAAUGGACGAAAGUCUGACGGAGCAACGCCGCGUGAGUGAUGACGGCCUUCGGGUUGGAAAGCUCUGUUAAUCGGGACGCGGUACCGGAAGAGAAAGCCACGGCUAACUACGUGCCAGCAGCCGCGGUAAUAC
rnacentral:rRNA from 1 species